UGGCGUAGUCGUCUAAGUGGUUAAGACCCCGUAGCUAGGGAAAUGCAGGUUCGAGUCCUGCCGCGCCACAA
rnacentral:tRNA from 1 species